rnacentral:rRNA from 1 species
GACGAACGCUGGCGGCGUGCCUAAUACAUGCAAGUUGAGCGAUGAAGAUUGCUGCUUGCACCAAUUUGAAGAGCAGCGAACGGGUGAGUAACGCGUGGGGAAUCUGCCUUUGAGCGGGGGACAACAUUUGGAAACGAAUGCUAAUACCGCAUAACAACUUUAAACAUAAGUUUUAAGUUUGAAAGAUGCAAUUGCAUCACUCAAAGAUGAUCCCGCGUUGUAUUAGCUAGUUGGUGAGGUAAAGGCUCACCAAGGCGAUGAUACAUAGCCGACCUGAGAGGGUGAUCGGCCACAUUGGGACUGAGACACGGCCCAAACUCCUACGGGAGGCAGCAGUAGGGAAUCUUCGGCAAUGGACGAAAGUCUGACCGAGCAACGCCGCGUGAGUGAAGAAGGUUUUCGGAUCGUAAAACUCUGUUGGUAGAGAAGAACGUUGGUGAGAGUGGAAAGCUCAUCAAGUGACGGUAACUACCCAGAAAGGGACGGCUAACUACGUG